rnacentral:tRNA from 1 species
UCCCCGAUAGCUCAAUCGGUAGAGCAGAGAGCUGUUAACUCUAAGGUUCCUAGUUCGAGUCUAGGUCGGGGAGCCA